rnacentral:rRNA from 1 species
GACGAACGCUGGCGGCGUGCUUAACACAUGCAAGUCGAACGGAAAGGCCCUGCUUUUGUGGGGUGCUCGAGUGGCGAACGGGUGAGUAACACGUGAGUAACCUGCCCUUGACUUUGGGGUAACUUCCGGAAACUGGGGCUAAUACCGGAUAGGAGCUCCUGCUGCAUGGUGGGGGUUGGAAAGUUUCGGCGGUUGGGGAUGGACUCGCGGCUUAUCAGCUUGUUGGUGGGGUAGUGGCUUACCAAGGCUUUGACGGGUAGCCGGCCUGAGAGGGUGACCGGCCACAUUGGGACUGAGAUACGGCCCAGACUCCUACGGGAGGCAGCAGUGGGGAAUAUUGCACAAUGGGCGGAAGCCUGAUGCAGCAACGCCGCGUGCGGGAUGACGGCCUUCGGGUUGUAAACCGCUUUCGCCUGUGACGAAGCGUGAGUGACGGUAAUGGGUAAAGAAGCACCGGCUAACUACGUG